UGCAGAUCCCCUCUGAAGUAACUGGGGUCUCAACUGGGGAACUUCUCAUCCCUGAGGAGUGGUCAGCUAGGAGAGGAAGAAGGAAUGUUGUGGAGCCCACCCAUGGCCUAAGGGUCGCAUGUAGUCCACAGUCUGUAGGAUUGGGAGCCUCCAAGUGGGUGACUCAAGAAGAAUUGAUACUUCAGCCCCCAGCGACAUGUACACAGUGUAAUGACAGGGAUCCUGGUGUCCCAGCCCAGACUUAUCCUGAGGGAAAGGACUGCUUACAGCACACAUUCUUCAACUUCAGCACAAUCAAGAUCCUGUGGAGGGCUUGCUAAGUCAAAGAUUGCUGGUUGGUGGGACUGGAGAGUCUGAAUUUCUGUCAAGUUCUCAGGUAAUGCUGCUGGCCCGAGACUACAAUUUGAGAAACGCUGGUCCAGGGCAAAUAGUGCAA
rnacentral:lncRNA from 1 species